GCUUAAGAUCCACUCUCAGCAAAUUUCUGAUGUACAGUGGGGUAUUAUUCACUACAAUAGUCAUGCUGUUCACUGGGUCUCCAGAACUGUCUUCAUAUCCUUUGACCAACAGCGUCCCAUGUCCCCACAAUCUGCAGCCGUCACCCUGAUCUCUGCUUCUCUGUUGGGAAUAUCUUCCGGUGUCUCCUGAAUCCACCUCCAGCUGAUGUCCUCUCUGUGGUGAAGCUGUGUUUUUCUUUGAGAGGCUCACUGGCCGGGAAAGGUUAAGUGGUUUGCCCCAUUGCUGGCUCAAGAGCACCACCUUCUGUUGACUUGAAAGAAUACUGGCAUCUUUGAUACAUUUUUUGGGGGGGGGUAGUAUCUAUCUUUUGAUUUUACUCUACUAGCAAUUGCUUUUAAUUUUUAAAAGAACCUUCAUUGGCUGCUAAUGUUUUAUUUCUUGAUCUGUGUGGUAACUGCAAGGGUGUGAUCAUUUUGUGGAGAUUCAAUGAGCUGCACACUUAACUAUGUGUAAAUUUAUUUACAUAUGAAUGCUAUGCUUUA
rnacentral:lncRNA from 1 species